CCUACGGGUGGCAGCAGUGGGGAAUAUUGGACAAUGGGCGAAAGCCUGAUCCAGCCAUGCCGCGUGUGUGAAGAAGGCCUUCGGGUUGUAAAGCACUUUCAGUGGGGAAGAAAGCCUUGGGGCUAAUACCCUCGAGGAAGGACAUCACCCACAGAAGAAGCACCGGCUAACUCCGUGCCAGCAGCCGCGGUAAUACGGAGGGUGCGAGCGUUAAUCGGAAUUACUGGGCGUAAAGCGCGCGUAGGCGGUCUGAUAAGCCGGUUGUGAAAGCCCCGGGCUCAACCUGGGAACGGCAUCCGGAACUGUCAGGCUAGAGUGCAGAAGAGGAAGGUAGAAUUCCCGGUGUAGCGGUGAAAUGCGUAGAGAUCGGGAGGAAUACCAGUGGCGAAGGCGGCCUUCUGGACUGACACUGACGCUGAGGUGCGAAAGCGUGGGUAGCAAACAGGAUUAGAUACCCCUGUAGUC
rnacentral:rRNA from 1 species